UUUAUGGAGAGUUUGAUCCUGGCUCAGGAUGAACGCUGGCGGCGUGCCUAAUACAUGCAAGUCGAGCGAACAGAUGAGAAGCUUGCUUCUCUGAUGUUAGCGGCGGACGGGUGAGUAACACGUGGGUAACCUACCUAUAAGACUGGGAUAACUCCGGGAAACCGGGGCUAAUACCGGAUAAUAUUUUGA
rnacentral:rRNA from 1 species